rnacentral:rRNA from 1 species
GACGAACGCUGGCGGCGUGCCUAAUACAUGCAAGUAGGACGCAGUUGCGAACGGGAGAGUAACGCGUAGGUGACUACCUAUUAGAGGGGGAUAACUAUUGGAAACGAUAGCGAAUACCGCAUACUAGUAGAUGGACCUGCGUUGUAUUAGCUAGUAGGUAGGGGAAUGGCCUACCUAGGCAAAGAUACAUAGACGAGCUGGGAAGGUGAUCGGCCCAACUGGGACAUGAAAACGGCCCAGACUCCUACGGGAGGCAGCAGUAGGGAAUCUUCGGCAAUGGGGGGAACGCUUACCGAGCAACGCCGCGGUAUGGAAGAAGGUUUUCGGAUCGUAAAGCUCUGUUGUUAAGGAAGCGGUACUUAACCAGAAAGGGACGGCUAACUACGUGCCAGCCGCCGCGGUAAUUC